UAUUUCACUUACAAUGCGAAACGUAAUUCAAUGGUGAACAGAGAGCGGCGGAUUCCAUUGGAAGGGGAUGCCGGCGCGGCGGUGGAAACGGCGUCGACGCGUGUAGGCGAGGGCGACGACGAUCAUUGAAAUGGAAAUGCCAUUGACGCAAAGUGAAAGUAAUUAAUGGAAUAUGCCCGGGUGAUAGAAUGAAUUUGAUGGCGGCGCGGCCUUGUCGGGCCGAAACGCCGCGGUCCGGAACAGUGAAAUACGGGCAUAUAACCGACGAUGAAAGGGCGGCCUCGAGGGUGGAGGAUGGAGGAAAAGUAAUUUCCUUCCGGAGGGUGGAAGUGACAGAGACUCGCGGGGGAAGCUUUGGACUUACUCCUUCCAGCGCGGCUUUCAGUUCUAGCGAAGUGGAGAAAUUGCCGGGUGCGAAAGUGUUAAUCAGAAACUGCUUUGGACACGGAGUUAAACACGCUACAAAAAAAGGAAAAAAAAAAAAAGGAAAGAAAGAAUGAAUAACCAUGAGUUCGAGUAAAACAUCAAAAGGAAAGUGAUAGAAAAUGAAAGAGGGUCUAGACGAUAAAGAAUCUGCCGAAAAAGCAAGAGAAUCGGAAAAUGGUGGAAACGUGGAACGACGUCUAGAAUGCAAGAGAAGAGGACCUGAAAGAGAAACAAAGUAGGAAAAAAGGAAUCGAGAAGGAGGAAGAAGAAGAAGAAACAAACAUAGCGUCUGUUUGCCAGAACGUUCGGCAACACUAUACACUCUUCCCUGAUCCGUGACGAGGAUCCCGGAGGAUCCAAUUCAGGAUUGGCUUCCAAAACGCGCACUUGAGCCAACCACGAGCAAAUAUACGUGGCUGCACACACCACACGUGUACACGGUCGAUACAGGUAGAGGGUGAAGCUCGGUGAUCCCGGAGAGGUGAACACAGGAGUGGGUGUAAGAGGAAGGGGGCAGCGGAGUCAGAGCAAAUAUUGAUGGAAGUCGAAAAAAUUUUAAAAGCCAUACCAACCAGACCGUUCGCUUGUGUUUCGCCGCUUUUCCGCGGGAUCCGUGCUUUUUAAGUAUUCGACAAAUAUCGAUGUUUCCAUUGAUUUUCGAUUUCCAGCGCGAUCCCGUUCUCUGCUCCCCCCCUCCCCCCUCACUUUUUUGUCUCUCCCUCCCUCUCUCUUUCUGCGUUUUGUAUUGAAAUUUUUUACCAGCGUCACCUUUCUUUCAGUUUAGAAAAAUGCCGCGGGAAAACCGCUCUGUUUUUACUUUCUAUUUCUUUUUUCCUUUCGUUUUCAUAUUUUUUUAUUGUCAGGCUAUGAAGUUCGAUACCGAUAGUUGGUAUAUCCUAGGUAUGUGCGGAGAGCAGAAGUUUUUGUAGUUUAUUGAAAUCUGAAAACGAAUCGUGAAGAAUGCAGUGUGUUUGACUGAUUGUUUAGAGAAAACUUGGUUCUGAAACAAUAGUGUUUUUUUUAGAUAUAUCCAUAUGUUGUGACUGUAGAGAAUCCAUUGAUACACUUCUGUGUACAUUCGUUCAUGGAACUGAAAACCACCGACAUCGAAUCAUCUUCUGUUCUCACUGUAUCUUCCCUGUAAUCUCGGUUUCCUAAAGAUGCCUACUGUUGCCUUUUCAAAGAACAGUACCUGUUCCUAAGUAUCUAAACUCUGCUUUCCUCCAAACCCUCUUCUCACAAUUUAAAAUUCCAAACUUUAGUGGAGUGUAUGAUAAUUUCAGUAUGUUGUUAUAAAAGUAUCCUACCUACUAUUUAAUAAUUCUGACAAAAGAAGGUAGGAAGCUUACUAGCUACUAUUUAAUAAUUCUAAUAAAAAUAAGCUUUCUUCUCGAAAGAGUUACAAUGCUUGUGAAAACUCACGGUUAACGUGGAUAAAAUUUCAUUUCAGUAGGUUACUUCAGAAAUCAAUAGUAUUCUCUAAAUCUUUUA